rnacentral:rRNA from 1 species
AGAGUUUGAUCAUGGCUCAGAACGAACGCUGGCGGCAGGCCUAACACAUGCAAGUCGAGCGCACCUUCGGGUGAGCGGCGGACGGGUGAGUAACGCGUGGGAAUAUACCCAGAUCUACGGAAUAGCCUCGGGAAACUGAGAGUAAUACCGUAUACGCCCUUCGGGGGAAAGAUUUAUCGGAUUUGGAUUAGCCCGCGUUAGAUUAGGUAGUUGGUGGGGUAAUGGCCUACCAAGCCUACGAUCUAUAGCUGGUUUGAGAGGAUGAUCAGCCACACUGGGACUGAGACACGGCCCAGACUCCUACGGGAGGCAGCAGUGGGGAAUCUUAGACAAUGGGGGAAACCCUGAUCUAGCCAUGCCGCGUGAGUGACGAAGGCCCUAGGGUCGUAAAGCUCUUUCAGCUGUGAAGAUAAUGACGGUAGCAGCAGAAGAAACCCCGGCUAACUCCGUGCCAGCAGCCGCGGUAAUACGGAGGGGGUUAGCGUUGUUCGGAAUUACUGGGCGUAAAGCGCGCGUAGGCGGACUAUUAAGUCAGAGGUGAAAUCCCAGGGCUCAACCCUGGAACUGCCUUUGAUACUGGUAGUCUUGAGUUCGAGAGAGGUGAGUGGAAUUCCGAGUGUAGAGGUGAAAUUCGUAGAUAUUCGGAGGAACACCAGUGGCGAAGGCGGCUCACUGGCUCGAUACUGACGCUGAGGUGCGA